CUACUGAAACUUCAGCUGAAGCUUGAGGAGACUGAAUGCUCAGACGCUCAGAUUGCCUGCUGCGAAUCUUUGCUCUUUCUCUACGAGAUCAUUGAAACAUGUAUCCUAAUUCGGUUCAGAGUACAUCAGUCCAGAGUAACGAUUAUUUGAAAUUUCA